rnacentral:rRNA from 1 species
CUACGGGAGGCACCAGUGGGGAAUAUUGCACAAUGGGGGAAACCCUGAUGCAGCAACGCCGCGUGAGUGAAGAAGGCUCUUGGGUCGUAAAGCUCUUUCGGCUGGAAAGAACGUGACUGAGGUGAACAAUCUUAGUUUCUGACGGUACCAGAAGAAGAAGGACCUGCUAACUACGUGCCAGCAGCAGCGGUAAUACGUAGGGUCCAAGCGUUGUUCGGAAUUACUGGGCGUAAAGCGUGCGUAGGCGGGCAUAAUUGUCGAUUGUGAAAGCCCUGGGCUUAACCUGGGAAUUGCAGUCGAAACGUUGUGUCUUGAGUGCCUGAGAGGGUGGGGGAAUUCCUGGUGGAGUAGUGAAAUACGCAGAUAUCAGGAGGAACAUCUGAGGCGAAGGCGCCUACCUGGCGGUGCACUGACGCUGAUGCACGAAAGCGUGGGGAUCAAACAGGAUUAGAUACCCUCGUAGUC